rnacentral:rRNA from 1 species
CCUACGGGCGGCAGCAGUGAGGAAUAUUGGUCAAUGGGCGCGAGCCUGAACCAGCCAAGUCGCGUGAGGGAAGACGGCCCUACGGGUUGUAAACCUCUUUUGCCGGGGAGCAAAGGGCGCCACGUGUGGCGCCACGGAGAGGACCCGGAGAAAAAGCAACGGCUAACCCCGUGCCAGCAGCCGCGGUAAUACGGAGGAUGCGGGCGUUAGCCGGAUUGCUUGGGUGUAAAGGGGGCGUCGGCGGAGCGUUAAGUCAGUGGUCAAAUUGAGGGGCUCACCCCCUUCCCGCCAUUGAAACUGGCGCUCUUGAGUGGAUGAGAAGUAUGCGGAAUGCGUGGUGUAGCGGU